rnacentral:misc_RNA from 1 species
GAAAGGGUAUAUAUAAUCCAAAAUACGUACUAUAAACCGGAGAAUUUCCACAUAUAUCAAGGAACAUAUAAGCAAAGAAAUGUACUACUAAUAUGAACAAAGAAAGAGGUACAGCUGUGAAUUGGAUCACAAGUGAACAGUUUCUUAUACAUCUUGCUUAAAAGAAUAGGACGAGUAACAACAUGCCUCUAAUUUCAGCUUAUUGCUCAAACAAGUGGCUGUGUCGCUGGAAGUUAUCCCAACCGCAUUCUGAUACUUCUUGAUGAAGUAAAUAAUCAUGAUUGCAGAGGAAAAAAGCAUCCCUCCGUACCCUGUACAUAUCCACAUCAGCAAUGCUGAAGGUUUGGUACCAGGAAGAUGUAUUUGGCUGUGCUUCUUCGCUAUUCAGUAGGGUAUCCUCUUUUCCCUGUUCGCAUACAAGAUGGAUGCCAAACUUUUUCACCUGAUAACCAGUUGACAUAACCACUGAAACAUUCAAUUCAUCCCCACCUUCCAGUUGAUCGCCCAAUUUCCAGUGGCUUAGCCAUAGCAUGAUCUCUUCUGUUUCAGGAAUUCCAUAAAAUGUUGGGCUAUAGGUCCACCUUAGAUCCUUAGUUUUAUUCCAGACCUUAGUGCAAUGAUGAUCACCAAAUCCAUUUCUUAGAUUAUUGCAUGCAUACACAGUGCAUAUGUUUAAACCACGGAUCUUGUGACCAUGGGGUGGGGGCACAGUAAAAGAUAUCGAUGACCCCUCGAGUUGAGGGUUGUACCAGCCUGGAAGCUCACUUCCUGGAAGAAAUAUGCUACAUAUGCCACAUUCAUGCAAAACCUGGGGAGGAGCUGUCCUUGAUGUCAUUGUCAUAACACUGAACAUUUCGACUUCAAUGUUUUCCGUAAAUUCCAAGUUGAACAAGCCCAACUUAUUGGCCAUUUCUAUGUCAAGAAUGCUUAUUGGCUCUAACUUGAACAAGUCUUGAACCCCGACUAGUUGUUGGCAACCAGCCAGGUUUAAAAGUAAUGAUGUCAUCAAGUUUGGUAGAUUUGAAAUUCUUUUCAAAGAUGUGCAUUUUUGCGCACUCAGUUCCUUUAAACUUGUUGGAAGUUCAGGGAGUGAUUGCAGCCUAUUGCAGUGAUCUAAUAGAAGGGAUUCAAGCUUAGUAAGGCUAUUGAUGCUUUUAGGUAGGCAAUAAAUUGAAUUUCCACUUAAAUUUAAAUAUUUCAAGGAGCGGAGGCUACUAAAGUAUAUAGUAUCAUCUGAUAGAUUGCAAUUGGCAAGACUUAGGCUUACUAAGGAGUGAGGUGGAAGAGUCAGUGGAAAAGAGAACUCUCUGCCUUGCCUUUGUGAUAACCAGGACCAGAAGGUUAAAUGCCAUGGUGUAGUUAUAGAACUUACUAUACCAUCUGCAUGAAGCACCUUUAGUGAUUCCAUUUUCCCAAGAUCGCUGGGCAGCUCAUCAAGUGUUGAGCAACCAGAAAGAACAAGUUUUUCGAGUGAUCUCUGCAUAAAAAUUUUUCUUGGAAGUUUCCUAAGCCUUCUGCAAUCUUUCAAGUUUAAGAAAACAAGUCUCUUGAGGUCUCCAAUAGAUUCAUGAACCUCAACCAAAUUUAUGCAACCUUUCAGCUUCAAUUCUUCAAGAUUUGGUAGCCCUGAGAGGUCAGGGGUGCUGACAAGACCAUGGGAAUGGCUAAGAUUAAGGAUUUUCAACUGUUCAAGAACCCUGGUUCCAUACCAAACAUAUUUUAGACUGCUAUAGCGCACGUCAAGAACAACAAGCUUCUCCAGAUAUAAAUCGGAUGGUAACGAUUUCAAAGGGAAUCCAUGCCAACACAACCAUAUUAAACUUUUAGGAAAAUCUUUGUAACUUCCAUUGAGCUUUACAUAAUUGAGCUGGAGCAGUUUCAAUUUAUGCAUCUUUGCAAAUGUCUUCGUUUCAAAAACCACUUCACCUGAGAUGGGAAAUGAAGUUGUUAGGCCAAUCUCCACAGGUUUCCAGGAGAAGAAGCCAAGACGAUGUCGUUUUGCUCUGUUUUUGAAAAUCAGGUCUUCAUGAUAUUGUUGUUUUGCACAAUUAAUACAAGAAAUCAUACGCUGCUGUUCUUCCAUUACUGUUUGUAGGUUGAUGAUGAGGCCUUUAAUAGUUUCUGUACCCUGCUUUGAAAAUGAAAAUCAAAAGAAAAGGAAAACAGAAGAAAAUUAUAAGUACUGGCAUGUUUGGCUUAUCCAAAUACAUAAAAACAUGCAUAAGAAGCAUUUUCAUACAAUAUUCUGUCUCAAGACGGUGAAUGCAUCCUCAUGAUACCAUAGUCGGCUACGUUUCCCUGGGUUCUCAGGUGAUUCUUGGCGAGUAAUUUCCCUUCCCAUUUCUCUAAGCAGAGGAUGCAUCAUAAGUUUACUGUCUUUGAUAGUGACAAUAUGUCGGUCAAUGAGAUUUUGAAUUCCAACUUUUGUGUAGAACCCACAACCAUCAAGUAUUUUAACUGCAUAAUUCACAUCUCUUCCAACAAAGAAACAAGCUAUGUCAAGAAAUAAACUUUUGUCAUGAUCAUCUGGCAAAGAAUCAUAGCUUAUUUGGAGAAUCUUUUGAAUUUUACUAUCAGGAAUUCUUUUAUAUUUUUCUAAUGCACUUUCCCAUUCAUCUGCAAAUUUGACAGAUAGAGAAGAACCCAAAACUUGAAGAGCCAAUGGAACCCCAAAACAGUGCUUUACUGCUUUCGCUGAGUGCUCUUCAUAACCUUCAAUAGGAUAGUUUUGUCCAAAGGCAUGCCAACAGAAGAGCUGAAGUGACUCAUUAUCAUCGAAUUCUUUAACUCUGAACUUCUUAUAAGUUUCAGAAGCACUAAGCAGAUGCCCGUGUCUAGUUGUAAUGAUGAUUUUACUGCCCUGAUAUAGCCAAUCCCGCAUUCCAAUUAUUGCAUUUAAUUGCUCCAGUUGAUCUAGAUCAUCAAGAACGAUAAGAACUCUUUUGCAGCUUAUUGCUUCUUUUAUCUUAAUACUUCCUUCAUCUACAGUUUUUAUUUUGCUUAUCUUUCCAUUAAGAGAUUUUUCAAGAAGUUGCUUUUGCAAGAAAAUCAAACCAUCAGGUUGUUUUGAAGUUUCUCGGAUAUUGGCCAGAAAGCAACUAACUUCAAAUCGAUCUAAAUUUAGGUUAUAAACUGUCUUUGCAAUGACUGUCUUCCCACUUCCACCAAUCCCGUAGAUUAUUGCUAUAGCAGGAUCAUAUGAGACAUCUUGUAUCCAAAAGCUAAUAUCUUUUAUACGAGACUCUAUUCCAACUAAAUAGGAGGGAACAUGCAAUAAUACUGAACCAUCCAACCUUUUCCCAACCUUUUUGACAAUAUCUUGAAUAAAUUCUGCCUCAUGCCUGUCUUGUAUGUCCAUCCCACUCAAAUCUGUAACUUCCCUAAGCACUGCUCUCCAUCUCUCCACCUUCUCCAUCUGUCCCUUAAACAACUCUUCAUGUUUAGCGAAUGCUUCUGCAUAACUCCCAGUCUGUUCCCAGACUUGUGAUGGAUCCGCAUCAUAGAAAACUGGCACAACAACAAGUCCACCAGUUUUCCUUAAUUCCAUUAUCUUCACAAGUUCAUCGAGGCACCAUAUUGAAGAAGCAUAGUUUUUUGAGAACACAACUAUGCAUAUUUUUGACUGUCGCAUUGCUUUUUCGACUUCCACAACAAAGUUCGCCUCUCCCUCAAUUCCAUCAUCUUCAUCUCUAAACGUGUGAAUUCCUGCUUGAUCCAGAGCUGAAUAUAGGUGAUCGCUAAAAUUCUUUCCAGUGUCAUCACCUUUAAAGCUUAAGAAGACGGGAAAAGUAUAUUGGGAAAAUCCUACAUCAGCCAUUGAAGAAACUUUCAAGAAAUGGAUGGAUGAUGGGGAGGCACCAAGGAUAGAUACAAACCAAUUGCUGUCAACAAUGAAAAACCCAAAAAGAAAGAGAUCAGCUAAGGAAAACAAUGGGGUCCAAUAAUCCAAGCUUGAUAUAACAAGUCAAUACAAUACCCUGGCACAAUUUAACAUGCUCAUUCCAAGCCCGUCAUAUUGAAGUUGUUUGUUCAUUAAUCACACAUGCUAUGCCUAAUCAGUUGUGAUUUAAGUAUCUAAUUUGCGUACUAAUGAUUGGGUAUCAUAGAUAGCGAUUGAAAAGCACAUGAAAACCAUCAAGGGGUUGGAUAAAUACAGAGCAAGGAUUACAAACAAAGCAGAAAACUUAGGAAUUUAGCGUUAGCACCUCAAAAUACGCAGCACAAAUACUCAAAAA